UACGAGGGGGGCAAGCGUUUGUUCGGAAUUAUUGGGCGUAAAGGGUGCGUAGGCGGUCUGAUAAGUCAUCUGUGAAAUCUAUGGGCUCAACCCCAUAGUCUGCAGGCGAAACUGUCGGGCUUGAGUAUGGGAGAGGUGAGUGGAAUUUCCGAUGUAGCGGUGAAAUGCGUAGAUAUCGGAAGGAACACCUGUGGCGAAAGCGGCUCACUGGACCAUUACUGACGCUGAUGCACGAAAGCUAGGGGAGCAAACAGG
rnacentral:rRNA from 1 species